GAAUUGACGGGGGCCCGCACAAGCAGCGGAGCAUGUGGUUUAAUUCGAAGCAACGCGAAGAACCUUACCUAGACUUGACAUCUCCUGCAUUACCCUUAACCGGGGAAGUCCCUUCGGGGACAGGAUGACAGGUGGUGCAUGGUUGUCGUCAGCUCGUGUCGUGAGAUGUUGGGUUAAGUCCCGCAACGAGCGCAACCCCUAUUGUUAGUUGCUACCAUUAAGUUGAGCACUCUAGCGAGACUGCCCGGGUUAACCGGGAGGAAGGUGGGGAUGACGUCAAAUCAUCAUGCCCCUUAUGUCUAGGGCUACACACGUGCUACAAUGGCAAGUACAACGAGAUGCAAUACCGCGAGGUGGAGCUAACCUAUAAAACUUGUCUCAGUUCGGAUUGUAGGCUGAAACUCGCCUACAUGAAGCUGGAGUUGCUAGUAAUCGCGAAUCAGAAUGUCGCGGUGAAUACGUUCCCGGGCCUUGUACACACCG
rnacentral:rRNA from 1 species